rnacentral:misc_RNA from 1 species
AACGCACCUUGCACCCUUUGGUAUUCCGAAGGGUACACCCGUUUGAGUGUCAUUGUAAUCUCACCAUCCAACUCUUUGUUGGCAUGUUGUGGAUUUGGAUGCUGCCGUGUCACAAUGGCUCAUCUGAAAUACUUGAGUACAUCCUGGAUUGCGAUGUGUUCGGUGUGAUAAAUUUUCACCGUGCUUGACCCUAGGGUCACACUUGCUUAACCAAGGCUCUGUGCUUCCAACCGUCCCAAUGGGACAACUUUGACAAUUUGACCUCAAAUCGGGUGGGACUACCCGCUGAACUUAA